AACGAACGCUGGCGGCAGGCCUAACACAUGCAAGUCGAGCGGACCCUUCGGGGUUAGCGGCGGACGGGUGAGUAACGCGUGGGAAUAUGCCCUUCUCUACGGAAUAGUCCUGGGAAACUGGGGGUAAUAUCGUAUACGCCCUUUGGGGGAAAGAUUUAUCGGGGAAGGAUUAGCCCGCGUUGGAUUAGGUAGUUGGUGGGGUAAUGGCCUACCAAGCCGACGAUCCAUAGCUGGUUUGAGAGGAUGAUCAGCCACACUGGGACUGAGACACGGCCCAGACUCCUACGGGAGGCAGCAGUGGGGAAUCUUAGACAAUGGGGGCAACCCUGAUCUAGCCAUGCCGCGUGAGUGAUGAAGGCCUUAGGGUUGUAAAGCUCUUUCAGCUGGGAAGAUAAUGACGGUACCAGCAGAAGAAGCCCCGGCUAACUCCGUG
rnacentral:rRNA from 1 species